AUGGGAAAAAAAGAAGAACCAAAGAAAGAGACCCAAAAAGAAUUGGGAGACUCAAUAGGACACAAAGUCCUACCUACAUCUAAGGCUGCUGAAGGUGAUGAAAAAAAAGACAAGCGUAAAGAUAAUGGUGGAGAAAGCCGUGGUAAAGGCACAACUGAAAAUAAUGACAAACUAUAUGAGGAUUUUGUUUUCUGGAACUAUAGUAAGUUCAAGGAUAAGGAUGAUAAAGAUAGCAAUGAAUAUGAUAAUCAUGAUGAUAGUGAUAGUAAUGCUGACAACCCCAAAGAGGCUGGUGAUGGGUAUGGCCAAGAUGACGGGUCAAGCUGGUGAUAAUGGCGAACACAAAAAUAGGAAUAGUGAACAGCCUUUUUGAUAAAAGUAAACAUGUUAGAAACAUUGAUUUUAAGCAUG
rnacentral:lncRNA from 1 species